rnacentral:rRNA from 1 species
GAUUGAAGUCAGUCGUACCGACGAGUAAUCAGCCUUUCGGGUGUGAUUUUGCCGGACACGGAGAGCUUUACCGCAUUCGUGCUUGUAAAUUUGUUCCCUUUGGGUGUACUUUCUCGUAUGGUUAGUUAACAUCAAUUUUGAUCGUUAUAAAAUGACUGGAGUAAUGUAGCUUCGAUCCUGUAUUGAAGUGUUAUAGACUUUGGUAGAUGUAACGAUUGGGAUUGAGGAUUGCAACGAAUACCCUUCGGGCUAUCCGUCUGGCCUCUGAAAGUCGUCUUGGUGCCGAAAGCGUGCUUACGGUUAUCGAGGCUGAC